CACUGCAUAUGAUGCGUGAAUGUAUAUUUCAUCUAAGAAAACUAUUGGCCAACCUUCUACACGAUUUUGCUUCAUAGUAUCGAUAUACUUGCGUCUCCAUGCAA